AUGAAAUGUUGUGUGAUUCUACACAACAUGAUCCUAGAGGAUGAGAGAGGGUUAAACCUCCCCUGUUUCUAUGACAAUGUUGGUACCCGUGUGCAACCGGAAAGAAACCCUUCUCGCAUACACGCUUUUCUUCAAGCACAUCGUCAGAUUGAGGAUGCAAUCACUCAUGGUCGGCUCCGGAAUGAUCUAGUAGAGCACCACUGGCAGUUGGAUGGGCGGCGCAUUGGCCCAUGA
rnacentral:rRNA from 1 species